GUACCGGAAACCACGAGGAGGAGCUGAGUGGUCUCUCCUGAGCGUGAAGCAGGCUCUGGGUGUUGCUUUUUUCGUAACUGCCCUUUGCCAUUGAUGAUCGUUCUUAAUCCUCCUUGGAGAUUAAGAGGGAGAGAACACUGUCUGAGUGGU
rnacentral:snoRNA from 1 species